GACGAACGCUGGCGGCGUGCUUAACACAUGCAAGUCGAACGGAAAGGCCCUGCUUUUGUGGGGUGCUCGAGUGGCGCACGGGUGAGUAACACGUGAGUAACCUGCCCUUGACUUUGGGAUAACUUCAGGAAACUGGGGCUAAUACCGGAUAGGAGCUCCUGCUGCAUGGUGGGGGUUGGAAAGUUUCGGCGGUUGGGGAUGGACUCGCGGCUUAUCAGCUUGUUGGUGGGGUAGUGGCUUACCAAGGCUUUGACGGGUAGCCGGCCUGAGAGGGUGACCGGCCACAUUGGGACUGAGAUACGGCCCAGACGCCUACGGGAGGCAGCAGUGGGGAAUAUUGCACAAUGGGCGGAAGCCUGAUGCAGCAACGCCGCGUGCGGGAUGACGGCCUUCGGGUUGUAAACCGCUUUCGCCUGUGACGAAGCGUGAGUAACGGUAAUGGGUAAAGAAGCACCGGCUAACUACGUG
rnacentral:rRNA from 1 species